AGAGUUUGAUCUUGGCUCAGGAUGAACGCUAGCGGGAGGCUUAACACAUGCAAGUCGAGGGGCAUCACGAGGUAGCAAUACUUUGGUGGCGACCGGCGCACGGGUGAGUAACGCGUAUGUAACCUACCCUGUACAGGGGGAUAGCCCGGAGAAAUUCGGAUUAAUACCCCAUAAUGAUAUUGAGAGGCAUCUUUUAAUAUUUAAAGUUACAACGGUACGGGAUGGGCAUGCGUGACAUUAGCUAGUUGGUAGGGUAACGGCCUACCAAGGCUUCGAUGUCUAGGGGUCCUGAGAGGGUGAUCCCCCACACUGGUACUGAGACACGGACCAGACUCCUACGGGAGGCAGCAGUGAGGAAUAUUGGUCAAUGGGCGCAAGCCUGAACCAGCCAUCCCGCGUGCAGGAAGAAGGCGCUAUGCGUCGUAAACUGCUUUUCCAGAGGAAGAAAACCCGCUACGUGUAGUGGUUUGCCGGUACUCUGGGAAUAAGCAUCGGCUAACUCCGUGCCAGCAGCCGCGGUAAUACGGAGGAUGCGAGCGUUAUCCGGAUUUAUUGGGUUUAAAGGGUGCGUAGGCGGAUUAAUAAGUCAGUGGUGAAAACCUUCAGCUUAACUGGAGACUUGCCAUUGAUACUGUUAGUCUUGAGUACGGUCAAGGUAGGCGGAAUGUGUAAUGUAGCGGUGAAAUGCUUAGAUAUUACACAGAACACCGAUUGCGAAGGCAGCUUACUGGGCCAUUACUGACGCUGAUGCACGAAAGCGUGGGGAGCGAACAGGAUUAGAUACCCUGGUAGUCCACGCCGUAAACGAUGAUCACUCGCUGUUAGCGAUACACAGUUAGCG
rnacentral:rRNA from 1 species